rnacentral:siRNA from 1 species
UCUGCCUCUGUUAACACAGUUG